rnacentral:misc_RNA from 1 species
GUAGGUGAACCUGCGGAAGGAUCAUUAUUGUACAACGGAGGUGCAAGGGCUGUCGCUGACCCUCAAAGGUCGUGCACGCCCGAGCACGCUCUCACACAAUCCAUCUCACCCCUUUGUGCAUCACCGCGUGGGUCCCCCCCUUUGUGGGGGGGCUUGCGUUUUCACAUAAAACUCGAUACAGUGUAGAAUGUUCUUUUUUGCGGUCACACGCAAUCAAUACAACUUUCAACAACGGAUCUCUUGGCUCUC